rnacentral:lncRNA from 1 species
GACUCUGCUGGGAUGGGUUCAAAGUAGAGAAAGUGCAAGAGGGAAGAGUUACCCGGGCUAGAGAGGACAGCGGGCCGCAGGUUUAGUCCUGGUUGUGGAGUGGGAUGCUGAGAUGGGUCUGGAGGGAUGCAGGAUGUUCUAGGCCGUUAGGAUGGUAAAUAGGGACCUCGCUCCGCGAGGGAUGCUGAACGGGGUCUGGAAGAAUGCAAGAUGUCCUGGUCCGGGCCAGGAAUGGUGUGAUGUGCAUGCUUUUAAUCCCAGCACUCAGGAGGCAGAGGCAAGUGGAUCUCUGUGAGUUCUUGGCCAACCUGGUCUAUAUGGUUACAUGGAUAGUGGGAUGUCAGAAGGGGAAUUGUAGUGAAUCACCCUUCUAUCCAAUCAACUGACAACACAGCAAUGAUCCCACAUCAUCCCAGCCCGAGAAAAACUCAGGGUUGGUGCCGGUGCUGAGCAGCUACUGGCCAGGAGCUGGAUGUCAGAUCCCUGGGAGGAUAUGAGAGGAUGUUUCCAGAAACACCGAACUAAAAAGGAACGUCCAACCCUGAAUGUGGAGGACAUCCUCCUCUGGGCUGGGCUCCCAGACUGAGUAAGAAGAAAAUAAGUUGAGCUCGCCCCCCCCCCCCCCAGCGCUGUAGAUACAGUGUGACCAGUUACCAGCCAACCCCCUGUUGCGGUGCCUUUUUCUUUUUCUUUUUUUUUCUUCCCUACCACUAUGAACUGUUCACUCUUAAGCUGAGAGCUAAAAUAAACUCUUCCUUUUGUCC